rnacentral:rRNA from 1 species
CACUCCUGCGGGAGGCAGCAGUGGGGAAUUUUGGACAAUGGGCGAAAGCCUGAUCCAGCCAUGCCGCGUGCAGGAUGAAGGCCUUCGGGUUGUAAACUGCUUUUGUACGGAACGAAACGGCCUUUUCUAAUAAAGAGGGCUAAUGACGGUACCGUAAGAAUAAGCACCGGCUAACUACGUGCCAGCAGCCGCGGUAAUACGUAGGGUGCAAGCGUUAAUCGGAAUUACUGGGCAUAAAGCGUGCGCAGGCGGUUAUGUAAGACAGUUGUGAAAUCCCCGGGCUCAACCUGGGAACUGCAUCUGUGACUGCAUAGCUAGAGUACGGUAGAGGGGGAUGGAAUUCCGCGUGUAGCAGUGAAAUGCGUAGAUAUGCGGAGGAACACCGAUGGCGAAGGCAAUCCCCUGGACCUGUACUGACGCUCAUGCACGAAAGCGUGGGGAGCAAACAGGAUUAGAAACCCCUGUAGUCCCAUG